rnacentral:rRNA from 1 species
UGCCCUACAGUCCCCCGUCCGGGAACAAGGAGCUGGUAUCAGGCACACUCAUCGAGCCCAUAACACCUUGCUUAGCCACACCCUCAAGGGAACUCAGCAGUGACAAACAUUAAGCCAUAAGUGAAAACUUGACUUAAUUAAAACUAAAAGGGCCGGUAAAACUCGUGCCAGCCACCGCGGUUAUACGAGAGGCCCAAGUUGACAGACACCGGCGUAAAGAGUGGUUAAGUUAAAACUUAAACUAAAGACAAACAUCUUCAAGACUGUUAUACGUACCCGAAGACAGGAAACUCAACCACGAAAGUAACUUUAUUUAAUCUGACCCCACGAAAGCUACGGCACAAACUGGGAUUAGAUACCCCACUAUGCCUAGCCCUAAACAUUGAUAGUACUCUACACCCACUAUCCGCCAGGGAACUACGAGCAACAGCUUGAAACCCAAAGGACUUGGCGGUGCUUUAGACCCACCUAGAGGAGCCUGUUCUAGAACCGAUAACCCCCGUUCAACCUCACCCUUCCUUGUUUUUCCCGCCUAUAUACCGCCGUCGUCAGCUUACCCUGUGAAGGACGAAUAGUAAGCAAAACUGGCACAACCUAAAACGUCAGGUCGAGGUGUAGCGUAUGGAAGGGGAAGAAAUGGGCUACAUUCGCUACUGUAGCGAACACGAAAGACGGACUGAAACGUUCGCCUGAAGGAGGAUUUAGCAGUAAGCAG